GCUAAAAUGGCUCAAUUGGGAGAGUGUUGGACUGCGUAUCUAAAGGUCCCUGGUUCAAGCCUGGGUUUUGGCA
rnacentral:tRNA from 1 species